rnacentral:lncRNA from 1 species
CUUCUUGGCAAUUCACAUUACAAAAAGUGUCUUACUUAAUAGACUGGAAGACAUUAGAUUCAGAAAUGACAGAUUCACUGUCAGCUGUGUUCUCACUAAGUCUCCCUGAAGUUAAUGUCUAUCAGAGCAUAGUGACCUUACAAAAUAAACUACUUCUAUUUUUUUCCUAGGUUGAAAGCCUUGAUGCCUUUGUCUCUUUUCUUCCCUCCCCACCUGUGUAAAGCUUUGCAGGUUAUUCCACUCAGCAAAUUUACUCCUUAAACUCAGGUAGGAAGAUUUUGUGUUCUGGGUAUUAAUGAUUGUUGAACCAAUAACCAUUAAGCUGGAGCUUAUUGUUAUAAAGUCUAAUGGGCCUUUUAAUUAUUUCAUUAUAUGCCGUGUCCCAAGCUGUUAGUGGACCAUGCAACAGAACCUUCCACUCCCUUUCUGGUAAGUAGUCAGUGCCACACCAUGUGCCACUAUGAUUAGUGACUCUUACUGUUAGAAACAGAAUGAAGUACUGUUCUCCUCCGUGUGAACACCAAAACCUUUUCUUAACUGUUUUCUUUUUUGACUAUGCUAUUUUUCAGGCCACAGAUAAAGGAAAUGCUCACAUCUUGGUGUCAACCACUCUGAAUGUGAGGGGCCUUGGUAGGCGUAUUGAAGACGUCACUUAAAAGAGUGAUGGAGCCUAUGUGAGCUGCUCUGCAGAACUGGAGAGCAGAUGCAGCCUCAGUCUCGACAGAGCUCCUUUCCCAGCAUCACAGCCAGCAUUGCAUGGUGUUUUUGACAGAAAACUCGAAACUAGAAUACUAAUAAUGGAAGUAGCUGGAGGCAGAAGAAAAUAUGGGAUGUGCAAACAUAAAAAGAAAUAGAAAACCUCAAAUAACAAAGGCGAAACAGAGGGAUGCAAGAUGUCUUAGUCCCUUACACAGUCCUCUUACGCUACAACAUGGAAGAAAGCUAGCUGAUCCCUCACCCUCUGUUCCUAAGGUGGCCAGAAAAUGCCAGCUCCCAGGAAAAGUCUGUGCAAAUGCAGCUGUAACUUCCUGUGUACUUCAGCCUUCCAGAUCUAAGUCAUCAAGUCUUCCUAUAUGAAGACAACACUUGUUGGGAGGGAGAGUGAGGUUUGGUACCUGCUGUGCUCAAAAAAUAUUUGCUAGAAAGAGACUAAGAUAAACGCAGACAUUCUAGAUGGAUGGCCAAAUGCAAGUAAUGCUGCUGACCUUAAGUCAGACCUGGCAAGCAGUAAUUUCAAAGGUUUGAAUGUGAAAAGAAUAGGAAAUCUCCUCCCCACAACUUUUUAUAAAUGGGUGAAGUGAAACAGGUCACGUUGAAGGUUCCGUCUCAGUUAUGCUGGAAUAUGCUAUUCCUUCAGGAUAACAAGCUGCUCAUAACAAGGUGUAAGUUCCCCUUCCAUGUGCAUGUGGGCUUCUCAGCACCUUCUCAGAAGGUACUCAUUGUGAAAGCUAAAUCAACAGGAUAGACACAAGUGGAACUCACCCAAAGCUAUGAGCCAGAACCAUUCAUAUUUCUGUGUUUUUGCUAGCCCUUCCCACCAGUAAAAACAUUUAAUAUCUGCAUUAGGAUCUAUCCUGGUGAAAUUAGAUCCCAAUUAAAAGUACUAAACAUUGAAUACAGAUCAAAUAUUGCAAUGCCACAGAAAAGAGAAUACAGAGAAUUUCCCAACAUUAUGUUAAGUGAUGUUCAAAUCAAAAGUUUUCAGGCUAUAAUAUAUAAUAUAGCAUAUACUAAUAUAUAUUAUACAGAUUUGUACUACAUUGAGAUGAAUGAGCUUAUUUUAUACUUGGGAAAAAAGAGUAAUUUCCCUUUAAUAGCACUUUGCCAUUGUAGGACAUAGUAACCUUGAACAUUCAAGUUAGUGGGAGAUUUUUUCAUUUGACCCAAAUGACAUUUAGUUCAAGCUCUUACUCAGAUAAGUAUUCAGCAAAAACCAUUAGGUUUUUAACAAAUAGAUAAUAAGGCUCAAUCUUGCCUCUAUUGAAGAUGGCAAGAGGUUUCUAUCAUCAGGAUAAUAGAGUUUUUAGUGCACACAUGAAUUAACACAAGUGUCCAUGGUACAUAUUUAUACAUGAACUGUAUGACCAAUAUGGCAGUCCAGUAUUUCUAAUUGGUUGUAAAUGAAAGAACCUGUGUCAGCUCCAAAAGAAUGUUUAUAUUCAGCCAUGAGAGCAUAGAUAUUCUGCCUAGCUCUUAAAAAAGAUAGAUAUAUGUAAUAAAGCACAUGAGCUAUUGAAUUAGAUUGUCA